UAAGUCUCAGUUCGGAGUUGAAGGCUGAAAUUCGCCUUCAUGAAGCCGGAAUUGCUAGUAAUGGCAGGUCAGCAUACUGCCGUGAAUACGUUCCCGGGCCUUGUACACACCGCCCGUCACACCAUGGGAGCCGGUAAUACCCGAAGUCAGUAGCCUAACCGCAAGGGGGGGCGCUGCCGAAGGUAGGAUUGGCGACUGGGGUGAAGUCGUAACAAGGUACC
rnacentral:rRNA from 1 species